GACGAACGCUGGCGGCGUGCCUAACACAUGCAAGUCGAACGUGUGGCGAACGGGUGAGUAAUACGUGAGUAACCUGCCCUCUUGUUGGGAUACGCCUUGGACAAGGGGUCUAAUACCGAACAACGGGGGAUGGGCUCUCGGCCUAUCAGCUUGUUGGUGGGGCGAUGGCCUACCAAGGCGGUGACGGGUAGCCGGCCUGAGAGGGUGACCGUCGACUGUGGGACGGAGCUACGGCCCAGACUGCGACGGGGGGGGGCAGUUGUGGAUAUUGCACAAUGGGCGAAAGCCUGAUGCAGCGACGCCGCGUGGGGGAUGAAGGCUUUCGGGUUGUAAACCUCUUUCGCAAGCGAACGGGUAGGUGGAGAAGAAGCGCCGGCUAACUACGUGCCAGCAGCCGCGGUAAUAC
rnacentral:rRNA from 1 species